AUUGAACGCUGGCGGCAUGCCUUACACAUGCAAGUCGAACGGCAGCGCGGGGCAACCUGGCGGCGAGUGGCGAACGGGUGAGUAACAUAUCGGAACAUACCCUAGAGUGGGGGAUAACGUAGCGAAAGUUACGCUAAUACCGCAUACGCACUAAGGUGGAAAGUGGGGGAUUCGCAAGAACCUCAUGCUCAUGGAGUGGCCGAUAUCUGAUUAGCUAGUUGGUGAGGUAAAAGGCUCACCAAGGCGACGAUCAGUAGCUGGUUUGAGAGUACGACCAGCCACACUGGAACUGAGACACGGUCCAGACUCCUACGGGAGGCAGCAGUGGGGAAUUUUGGACAAUGGGGGCAACCCUGAUCCAGCAAUGCCGCGUGAGUGAAGAAGGGCCUUC
rnacentral:rRNA from 1 species